rnacentral:rRNA from 1 species
UGAAUACGAGAUGCUACGGCGUCGAAGCAGUGUAUGUCAGACUUCCAAGAAAAGCUCGCAAUGUCAUAAAUAAAGAAUGCCUGUACCAUAACCGACACAGGUGGGUAGGUAGAGUAUACUAAGGGGCGCGAGAUAACUCUCUCUAAGGAACUCGGCAAAGUAACUCCGUAACUUCGGGAGAAGGAGUGCCUUCUUUAAGAAGGUUGCAAUAACAAGAUCCAAGCAACUGUUUAUCAAAACACAGGUCUCCGCUAAGUCGUAAGACGAUGUAUGGGGGCUGACGCCUGCCCAGUGCCAGAAGGUUAAAGAAGCUGGUUAGCAAUAGCGAAGCUGGUGACUGAAGCCCUGGUGAACGGCGGCCGUAACUAUAACGGUCCUAAGGUAGCGAAAUUCCUUGUCGGGUAAGUUCCGACCCGCACGAAAGGCGUAAUGAUUUGGAUACUGUCUCGGAGAGGGACUCGGUGAAAUAGACUUGUCUGUGAAGAUGCGGACUACCUGCACCAGGACAGAAAGACCCUAUGAAGCUUUACUGUAACCUGAAAUUGAAGUUGGACUUUAUUUGCGCAGUAUAGGUGGGAGGCGUUGAAAGUAAUCUUGCGGGAUUAGUGGAGCCAUCAGUGAGAUACCACUCCUAUAAUGUUAGAUUUCUAGCUUUGGAUCAUGGUCUGGUCAAAGAACAGUUUCAGGCGGGCAGUUUGACUGGGGCGGUCGCCUCCCAAAUGGUAACGGAGGCGUACAGAGGUUUCCUCUGAACGGGUAGAAAUCGUAUCUAGAGUGUAAAGGCAUAAGGAAGCUUGACUGUGAGACCUACAAGUCGAGCAGGGACGAAAGUCGGUCUUAGUGAUCUGACGGUGCUGAGUGGAAAGGCCGUCACUCAACGGAUAAAAGUUACUCUAGGAUAACAGGCUGAUCUCCCCCAAGAGUUCACAUCGACGGGGAGGUUUGGCACCUCGAUGUCGGCUCAUCGCAUCCUGGGGCGGUAGUACGUCCCAAGGGUUGGGCUGUUCGCCCAUGAAAGCGGUACGCGAGCUGGGUUCAGAACGUCGUGAGACAGUUCGGUCCAUAUCCGGUGUAGGCGUUAGAAUAUUGAGAGGAGCCUUCUCUAGUACGAGAGGACCGAGAAGGACAUACCUCUGGUGUACCAGUUAUCGUGCCAACGGUAAACGCUGGGUAGCUAUGUAUGGAGAGGAUAACCGCUGAAAGCAUCUAAGUGGGAAGCCCACCUCAAGAU